CCUACGGGAGGCAGCAGUAGGGAAUCUUCCGCAAUGGACGAAAGUCUGACGGAGCAACGCCGCGUGAGUGAUGAAGGCUUUCGGGUCGUAAAACUCUGUUGUUAGGGAAGAACAAGUGCUAGUUGAAUAAGCUGGCACCUUGACGGUACCUAACCAGAAAGCCACGGCUAACUACGUGCCAGCAGCCGCGGUAAA
rnacentral:rRNA from 1 species